rnacentral:rRNA from 1 species
AGCAGCCGCGGUAAUUCCAGCCCCAAUAGCGUAUAUUAAAGUUGUUGCAGUUAAAAAGCUCGUAGUUGAAUUUCAGGAUUGGCGCAUCGGUCGUGCCUCACGGGGUAUGAACUGGUGCAGUCAAUUUCUCACCUUCUGGAGAACCGCGAUGUCCUUAAUUGGGUGCCGCGGGGAACCAGGACCUUUACUUUGAAAAAUUAGAGUGUUUAAAGCAGGCAUUUUUGCUUGAAUACAUUAGCAUGGAAUAAUAAAAUAGGACGGCAUGGUUCUAUUUUGUUGGUUUCUAGGACCACCGUAAUGAUUAAUAGGGAUAGUUGGGGGCAUUAGUAUUCAAUUGUCAGAGGUGAAAUUCUUGGAUUUAUUGAAGACUAACUACUGCGAAAGCAUUUGCCUAAGGAUGUUUUCAUUAAUCAAGAACGAAAGUUAGGGGAUCGAAGACGAUCAGAUACCGUCGUAGUCUUAACCAUAAACUAUGCCGACUAGGAAUCAGACGAUGUUAAUUUUUAAUGUACUCG